GAUGAACGCUGGCGGUGUGCCUAAUACAUGCAAGUCGAGCUAACGGACGAGAAGCUUGCUUUUCUGAUGUUAGCGGCGGACGGGUGAGUAACACGUGGAUAACAUACCUAUAAGACUGGGAUAAUUUCGGGAAACCGGUGCUAAUACCGGAUAAUAUUUUGAACCGCAUGGUUCAAAAGUGAAAGACGGUCUUGCUGUCACUUAUAGAUGGAUCCGCGCUGCAUUAGCUAGUUGGUAAGGUAACGGCUUACCAAGGCAACGAUGCAUAGCCGACCUGAGAGGGUGAUCAGCCACACUGGAACUGAGACACGGUCCAGACUCCUACGGGAGGCAGCAGUGGGGAAUCUUCCACAAUGGGCGAAAGCCUGACGGAGCAACGCCGCGUGAGUGAUGAAGGUCUUCGGAUCGUAAAACUCUGUUGUUAGGAAAGAACAUAUGUAUAAGUAACUGUGCACAUCUUGACGGUACCUAAUCAGAAAGCCACGGCUAACUACGUG
rnacentral:rRNA from 1 species